GACGAACGCUGGCGGCGUGCUUAACACAUGCAAGUCGAACGGGGUCCAGUCUGUAGCAAUACAGAGGAAGACCUAGUGGCGAACGGGUGAGGAACACGUGAGGAAUCUGUCCCGAACUCUGGGAUAACAGUUGGAAACGACUGCUAAUACCGGAUGCCGUCAUUGGAUCGCAUGAUUCGAUGACGAAAGAAUUUCGGUUCGGGAGGAUCUCGCGGCCUAUCAGCUUGUUGGUGGGGUAAUGGCCUACCAA
rnacentral:rRNA from 1 species